rnacentral:rRNA from 1 species
AUUGAACGCUGGCGGCAGGCCUAACACAUGCAAGUCGAACGGUAACAGGCAGAAGCUUGCUUCUUUGCUGACGAGUGGCGGACGGGUGAGUAAUGUCUGGGAAACUGCCUGAUGGAGGGGGAUAACUACUGGAAACGGUAUCUAAUACCGCAUAACGUCGCAAGACCAAAGAGGGGGACCUUCGGGCCUCUUGCCAUCGGAUGUGCCCAGAUGGGAUUAGCUAGUAGGUGGGGUAACGGCUCACCUAGGCGACGAUCCCUAGCUGGUCUGAGAGGAUGACCAACCACACAUGAACUGAGACACGGUCCACACUACGACGGGAGGCAGCAGAGGGGAGUAUUGCGCAAAGGGCGCAAGCCUGAUGCAGCCAUGCCGAGUGUAUGAAGAAGGCCUUCGGGUUGUAAAGUACGUGCAGCGGGGAGGAAGGGAGUAAAGUUAAUACCUUUGCUAAUUGACGUUACCCGCAGAAGAAGCACCGGCUAACUCCGUG